GCAAACUUGGUCAUUUAGAGGAAGUAAAAGUCGUAACAAGGUUUCCGUAGGUGAACCUGCGGAAGGAUCAUUACAGAAGAUUAGAUUAUUAUUAUCUAUAUAAAUAGAUAAGAUAAUCAUAAAUUAAACUUCUCUACACUUUGUGUGCACUUUAUCAGUCGGUAGGCUUUGACAGAUUUAUGACUUAUAUCUAAUAUAUGUUAAGAGAUUUUGAUUUGAAAGCCAAAAAGAAAUCUCUAAUCUGUCAGAGUUUUUUAUUUUUAAACGUUAUUUCUUUUUACAUAAAUCUCAAUGAUUUUUUCUAUAAUCAAAAAUACAACUUUCAACAACGGAUCUCUUGGCUCUCGCAUCGAUGAAGAACGCAGC
rnacentral:misc_RNA from 1 species